GGAUGAUCUCAUCAGGUCCACUCUUGACCCAGUGCCCAGCCUACCAUCUCCCCGAUGCGUGGAGCACAUUCCCGAGCCCACCCCUGAUGGAGAGCCAGAGCCCGCCGUAACCUACGAACUAUCGCCAGAGAGAGCGAUAGAGCUGAUGAUCACUGCGGAGCCGGAGGCCGUGACGUCAGUCCAGGUGGGAGAGCCAGCUAUGGAGCCUGCCAUGAGGGAGAGAGCCACGAACUGUGUGAGUGUGGACAGGAGCUCCGCCCCCUGCACUGCAGCUGAGGGUGAGCUGAGUAUGGUGCGGCGAAAUUGCCAUAACGAAGGGGAGAGUGUUCCAGCCCCUGAAUCCAGUCCAGAGCACCCUCCAGUGCCCGCUCCUAGAAAGUGCCCUCCAGAGUGCAAUCCUGUUCCCAAGUUCAGCCUAAAGGGGCCUCUUCAGAGUUUAGCCCUGAAUGCCUGGAGGCUCACAAAUGCCCGCCCUCCUACCCCUCUCCUGCCACCUCCUCCGCUGUCAUCUGGAAGCCCCUCUGCUUGCCCUCAGCCCACCAUUUAUGUGGUGUGAGAUUUGCUGGACUGCCAUCCUCCAACUUCGCCGCGGCUGGAGUUUCCCUUGACUCCGCCUUCAGUGUCCAUGGCCUCGGCCUAUUGACCCGUCGGCUCCACCUAGGACUCCUAGCUCCCUCCUCUCCACCACGGCUUGGCAGUCCACUAGCUCCGCUGGCCUUCCUCGUUCCUCUGGCGCUGCCUUGGUCUGGCGUCGAUCAUCCUGCACCUCCGGACUCCACUCCUCCGGCUUCGCCUAGUCCCUUCAUCCCUCUGGCUCCGUCAGACUCCUUCAUCCCAUCUGCUCCACCUCAGUCCUCUGUCGCUUCGGCUCCAACGCAGUCUCCCGGAUCCACACCUUCACUUGGUCACUGGCGCCAUUGGCUCCACCUAGGACCUCUGAAUCCUACCCGUCGCCCUGGCUCAUCGGCUCUCCGCCUCAGGCUCCUCCACCACCUGCUCCACCACCGUUGGUUGGCCCCCUGGAGUUGGCGGCCAUUCCUCCUCCAUGACUCCUCCCUCCGUCGGCUCCAACGUGGGUCGACAUUAUGGCUGUGCCCUGGGUCCAGCUGGGCUCCUCCUGCUCCAAGUCUCUUCAGUCUCCUCCCUCCUUCGUCGCAUGAGUGUAGUACAAUCGUGACAUAUAAAAACUAUUACGCCUCUGGAUUGUCU
ensembl:lncRNA